AAGACACUAGUAAAAUUAGAUAUUACUCCUCCUUGUCAAGGGGGCAUUGUGGGUUAAACCCCCGCGUAUCUUA
rnacentral:tRNA from 1 species